rnacentral:rRNA from 1 species
UACGUAGGGGGCAAGCGUUGUCCGGAUUAUUGGGCGUAAAGAGCGUGUAGGCGGCCAGAUAGGUCCGUUGUGAAAACUCGGAGCUCAACCUCGAGACGCCGAUGGAAACCAUCUGACUAGAGUCCGGAAGAGGAGAGUGGAAUUCCUGGUGUAGCGGUGAAAUGCGCAGAGAUCGGGAAGAAUACCCGUGGCGAAGGCGGCCAGCUGGGCCAGGCCGACACUGAGGCGCGAAAGCGUGGGGAGCAAACAGG